AGUCGUGUACGUGAGGGACAAUGUGAAACGUGAUUAGCGUCAAUAUCAAAAUGACUAGAUUUUUGGAAAGGGAAGGUGAAGAAAGAACUGUCUCUUGAAGGUGAAAUCCGAAGGGAGAAAAACCAAUCAGGAUAAAUCGAACUCUGUUGAAACUCGAUGGCGUGACUGCUAAGAGAUUACUUCUUACUUUACUUAAUACCACUCAGUGGUGGCUUCCUUUGGAUUAUACAACUAUACUUAAUCUCCUCGCUAUUACGCGACAUUUUUUUUUCUUGUUGCGGUUUUGCAUUUUCAAGCAGAAUCAAUUUGCAAGUAUUGAAGCUGCUCAAAAUGGGAAAAUCAACAGAAUUCAAGGAAUUGAAAUCAGAAUUGCUUUUCAUAUUUGAACGUGAAGGAAAUACGGAGAUGAUUAUCGCAGGUACCACCGUUUAACGAUCUCAAAAAAAAGGGAUAUAUUCGAAGAGAAACAUAUAUAUACAGGAUGAUCCUCUCUUGAAGAUUAUGUUUGUUGAAGAGAGAAAGAGUUUUGUGUGUUUUCGUAUAUAUAACGACACUUCCAUCUCAUCCUCCUCUUGUAGGACGAUCGUGGCGCGCCUCGUGUUGGACUAUUUGCUACGUGACGAUCAAUGGAAUGGCGACACUUGGAUUUUUAGAAAUGGAUCAAAUUUGGAAUAAUAAGAAAUAACAAUUUUCGAAGGAAGGGGAAAUUUCAAAAAUUUACAUUUUUGAAAAUAUAAAAAGGGUGAAAUCUACAAUGAAGAAUGAAUUGGACAUUAACAGUGAAGUAUGUGCAUCUCGUUGUUUAAAAGUGGAUGCUGGUGGCAAUGGAUAUUUUCUUUCGAACCCCGUAAUUAGAUGGCCUCAAAAAAACCCAUCUUCGAGACUGCGGAAAUUCGUUAUUUAUAGUCUUGAAAAGGCGCCACCUACCUCAAUACGGAAAUUAUACUUCAAUGGAAAAGAAGUUCUGAAUCUUAAAUUUGACUUAAAAUCAUUGACUACACCAAAGUUGCGUGAGCUCCGGAACUGAAUAAAUUAUUCUAUCUUUAAUGAUCAACGUUUUACUCCAUCAUAUGGCGGAAAGAGAAUAGCUGCGUUCUAAAUUUGAAUUAAGAGGAAGCAAUAUGGGUUUAUUGAACCGGAGAAGGAAAAUUAUCAUAAUGAAAUUGUACCUAUUGAAUCAUCAUAUUUAUUAUAUGAAGUGCAAGUGGAAAAUUUGUGGAAUAAGAAACGAUAGAGAUCUGAAAAUGAUGAAUCUUUGGAAACUAUUCAUUUUUCCUCAAGCAAUAACACACGAUUCCAUUCUGCUAUGAAAGAAAUUCAUUUCCUGAUUAUGAUAAAAUUGGAAAAAUUAUACGAGAUGAUGCGACUAUGAAAAAUGUUUGAUCAACUGGAAAUUUGGUGGCAAAUAUUUUUUGCUAACUAUAGAAUUUGGAGGAAUUUUCAUGGUCUUGAAUCAUCAUUAAGAAAAGGAUUUUCUCAGAGAAUAAUUUGACUUCCUAUAUAAGUUUACGAUAAAACGUGAGAAACAGGCAUUUAUCUAUAUAUACUCGUGUUCAUUGGACCAUUCUCCGAUUUCUGUCAGACAAGGCGGUGCCUUCACAUAGUGUCCCAUACGCAAAGCAGGACAUCUCGAACAAGAAGCCUACACGAACGGGCGAUUCGGAAUUAGAUGUUAUCUUUGAUGAGCCGUGUGCUUCGGGGUCCCAAGCGCACAUGGAAAGGGCCUCUCUUUCUCUCUCUCUCUCUCUUUCUAUGCGAGACUCGCGCCGCCAAUCGCCGCGAGAUACAGAUCUUCUUGGCGCCACCGUCAGGCUCCAUAAGGACCUCGUAAGUCCUCCUCUCAGUUCCCAACUAAACCAAAUAACCAAAGAUAUACUUUGAAACCCUUAAAUGCGGUUAAAGCGUAACCGAUACCCCAACGGGGGGUCCUUUUAAUUCUUUUGCAGCCUUAAAAGAAAUUUUUUUUUUUCAAAAAACAUCCCCUUCAAUUUCAAAAAUAGAUU